ACUGUGAUGAGGAGGGCGAGGAAGUGAACCUCGUUCAUAGGAAACAAGACUAUGGUGCUACUUGUGUCUGCUUUCAAUUUUGCAAGGGAGGUUUUCACGCUGGAAACAAGCUAGCUAUAAGUUCAUGACCCUCCCAACUGACGUUGCCUCAUGAAGAUAGAGUUGAGGUGUACCAUCACCU